CUCAGCUCUUGCUGCUCCUGCUCACAGGGUAAAGCCAAAAGCUGUCGUGAUCAAAAACGCAGGCCGCCCUUCUGACCUGAGUCACAGGGGCCGUUUCUUCUGAAUGACUCAAGAUGGGAAAUCAUUCUUGGAGCUUCAGAAGAAAAAGAACCCCAAAACCGUAGAAUGCAGCCGCCCAAGAAGGGAUUUUUUGUGGCUCAGCCAGAUGUGCUCCUGCCUCCCACCGAGACACUGAGACGGAGCUGAGUUUGCAUUCCAAUAUCUUGGAACAGAGGCUCAUGGGAAGUUUUCUCAGCUAUCCAAGGCACGGAGCCCUGGAGCCAAGUCAGCCUGAGCUGUUGCGUGCUUGCUGUGAGCCUUGAGGGCAGGACAGCGUUCAGACUUGAAAGUGUAAGAAGAUGUGGAGUGAGACAGAGAAUCUGACAGGAGCACCGGACUCACAAGUGCACAAAUUUUGCUUUUGGCUUGGAUUUAAACUCAGAAGUUGUAAGGAAUUUGGGAAGGAGAAGAAGAAAAAGAAGUUGUUGUUGUUACAGCCCUGGCAAAAUCUUUGGUUCUAGCUAAUAAAGGAAGUUAGUUGAAAUAAAAAGAAAG